rnacentral:ncRNA from 1 species
UCACAUAAGAGCUAGCAACGCGACGCUACCUCGAAGCCCAUCCCGAAAUGCGUGUUCUAUAAACCAGGUGGCAUCCCAUCUUUUCCCUCCACAGUAGCCACCGACCCUACAGAAGGAGAUGUCUUGCGUCAACACACUUGAGUCGCGUUCAUUGGGAUUUGAGCGCAAAAUGUGUGAUAAGUUUCACAUAAAGCUAAAUACUGGCGUGAGACCGAUAGCGAACAAGUACUGUGAAGGAAAGAUGAAAAGGACUUUGGAAAGAGAGUUAAAAGUGCCUGAAAUUGCUGAAAGGGAAGCGAUUGAAACUUUCGUGUUUCUGGGGUGAUGAUAGAUUUUAGUGGUUAUUUUUCUCAAUUUCCGUUAUAGGGGUUGGGGGAUUGUUUACUACUAUUAUUUAUUAUGAUCCCUUGUUGCUGGUCAGCAUCAGUGGUUACCUGACUAUUCUCUCCAAGGAAGGUGGGUCCCUCGUGGGCUGUUAUAGCCUUUGGGUUUGUGUUGUUCAGGUUUCUGCUGAGGUGUGUUUUCCGCGUUCGAUGGCUCCACACGCCGCUACGGCAGAACCUCCAGCCAAGCGAAAAAAAGGCACAUCCGAAUUUCAACAAAACGGCAG